rnacentral:ncRNA from 1 species
AUUUGACGGGGAGCUUUUCGCUGAGAGUAGGUUUGACCUUGACCCUUUUACCUGAUAUGGAUAAUGCCAACGCAGGGAAUUUGCGA